UUCCAUUGACAUCGCGAUUUCUGCGCAGUAAUUUUCAAAGCCAU
rnacentral:ribozyme from 1 species